AGUAACACGUGGGAAUCUACCUCCUCGCAGGGAACAACCUCUCGAAAGAGAGGCUAAUACCCAAAGGGUCAGAAAUGAUCAGAGUCGAAAGGCGUGAGGAGAGGAAGCCCGCGGCCCAUCAGCUAGUUGGUGAGGUAAUGGCUUACCAAGGCUACGACGGGUAGGGGAUCUGAGAGGAUGUCCCCCACACUGGAACUGAAACACGGUCCAGACGCCUACGGGUGGCAGCAGUGAGGAAUAUUGGACAAUGGGCGAAAGCCCGAUCCAGCAACGCCGCGUGGAGGAUGAAGGCCUUCGGGUCGUAAACUUCUUUAGAGGGAGACGAGAAAGGACGGUAUCCCUAGAAUAAGCGACGGCAAACUACGUG
rnacentral:rRNA from 1 species